GCUCUUGUGGCUCAGUGGUUUAGAGUACGCCUUUCGUAGAACGAUUACGACUGUAGUCAGCGUGAGGGUGGGGUCCCAGGUUCAAAUCCUGGCUGGAGCA
rfam:Kwoniella heveanensis BCC8398 unplaced genomic scaffold supercont1.5, whole genome shotgun sequence.